rnacentral:tRNA from 1 species
GCGGGACUAGCUCAGUUGGUAGAGCAUCAGCUUCCCAAGCUGGAGGUCGCGAGUUCAAGCCUCGUGUCCCGCUCCG